GUUACAUUUCUACUCAAGUAUCGAUUUAAACAACUACAGUGCUGCAGUGGGACAGAACUAGGAGUUAAAGUACGGAGGGUCUUAACCAAACCCUGCCGCUGGUAAUUUCGUGAUAUUUCAAGCAUCACCCGAUUUCUCCAUGCCUCCGUGAAAUGAAGUUAUUGGGCUAGAAAAACACUACAUUCUUUUCUAGCUCUGACAUUUUGUGGUUGCAUGAAUGCGAGAUGACUGAACAUUGAACACAAAGGCUAAGCCAUGUGCUUUUAAGUCCCCUAAUCCUCGCUGAAUUCAUGUGGGUUGAACCUCCGAAUCAAUCACUGGGCGACCACUGUCCCUGUGGGCUCCCAUGCUGCCUUCGACACCAGCCUCUUCAGUUUGUUGUUCUCUUAGUCACGCUGUCCCAGACUAUUAGCUUAAGGAUUAAUCAUGAGGACUAGCAACUCAGGGGUGAAAGGCAGUUGAGUUCAUUUCUUUAGAACUAACCCCACUUCGGUAUUAAAUGCAUUUAAAUUUGUAGCCUCAAAUCUAAGCCAAGUUUUUUACUCACAUUUUCUUCCACCCUGGUCUUUCUUUGAUAAUGAAUUUUCACCUGUGUCUGAAGGAAAGAUUAAAAAAAAAAAAAAAGGAUGGGAGAGAUUGGUAUAUCAUAAUUAAAGGGCCCUAACUGAGGGUAGCCUAACAGUUAGGACCAAGGAAGACAGAGCAUGUAGAAGAUACAAAGUCAAGGUCAAGAGAAAGCUAUUUAGUGUCUAAAGAAACUCUGUUAUCUUCAUUGUUAUUGUUAAUUCAUCAGUAGAUGAGUUAUGCGUAUUGAGAAGUUGUUACAUACUAGGAACCUUACUUUUUGUGCAUUUUACAAACAUUAUUUCACCUAAUAGAAUAACCCAGUUAGAUAAGUCCAGUAUUAAUUCCUUCUUACAGAUAAAAACAAACAAACUAGAAUUUCAAAAGGUUGGUUAUUUUGUCCCAAAUUCCAAGGCCACCAUGAUUGCUAUGGUGGUUGCUUUUGAUUGCUAAGUGAGAAAUGAUUGCUAAAUGAGAAAGGUUUAGUAAUUGAUCUAAGAUAAUACCCCUCGUGAGUGGUAGAACCAGAGUUCAGCAUCUCGUUUACUCCAAAGGUCAAGAUCUUCCUGCUACAAUUGUACUUUGGAAGUAAAGUCAUUUAAAAUGUUUCCAAGUGACUGAGGGAUUUGUAACCAGUUACAAUUAAGGUGCCUCGCUAGACAUCAUUAGAAUGUUGGCAACCUGUUAUUAUGAGAAAAUAUUCAAAUAAACAAACUAGGGAAUGAAAUGAAAAAGGGAAGUAUUGCAACAAUGCAUACAAGAAAUAGGUACUAAUGUCCUCAAGGGAACAUAGAGGACAUUAAAAAUUCAAAAUUGUCCAAGGGAGAACCCAUGUGUAUAAAAUCUUUGACAAUUUAUGAGGAAAGAUGGUAAUUAAUAGUCAAUCUUGAAAUGAGGUAUUUAUUCUUUAAAUCUACUUAAUCCCCUUUUCUGACUCUCACUAAUUUAGUGAGUUUUAUGCAUCCCUUAGGUUUCUCUCCAGACCAAGACAUAUUGAUCAACCUGGCUGAAUAUUAGGAUUGUAUCUUCCAGAAUAUCACAGUCCCAGCACGCUCCAAGAGUUGGAAGAAUUACUGCCAGCAUAGCUUUACAAAUUGGAGGAAAAGAAAGAAAAAUAAUGUCUAGAGGCUCAGGACAAGCCAAUAUGAAACAGGUAUUUUGUUUAAUCCUGUAACCUCUUAUUUAUACAAUGAAGAUUUAAUUUUCAAAUAUUUAAAGUUGCUUCUGGCUUUUGUCUUUCACCUCUUUGUUUUACAUUGUAGAAUGUUCUGGUGGGUUGCCAUUACAAUAUUAACUUGUCUACCUAUUAAUUUAUUUAUGCAUGGUUUUAAACACAUCCCUUAAAAAAAUGUAGACACUGUCUGGCUUUGGGAAAACACAGCCCUCCUCUGUAUUUGGGUACUUUUUCUUUGCAAUGUCCAAAGAUUUUUCAGUUCUUCCCAGGCCUUUGAUUCCUCCAGUUUUCAAAGUGAUAAUUGUGUCCCACCUCUUACAAGACAGUCUGGAUUGCCAAUCUUCUAGGCCCACACAGUUCUGAAAAACUUUUGCAGUUGGAGUUGAAAUUAUUUUGUGUCUAAGAAGCCAAAGAAUUCCAUUUGUUCACACAUUGUGGAGCUGGACUGGGACAGCUGUUACGUUUCCUAACAAUAGUGUUACUGAGGGAUCUGCUACAGUAAAAUGACAAGCAAUUAUGUUUAUAAAAUCUGAAUCUGGAAAAAAAUGUUAUCCUAAACAUUAUUAAGCUUAAAUUUUGGGUUGCUGGAUUAAGAACAUUUUGGAAUAUGUAUACACAGAAAAUAUUCACUUAUUUUUACUUUCUCUGUGGGAGCCCAGACAGAAAGUUCUUUGUAUCAGGGCAUAAAUAUGUAACUUCUUCAGUGUCCACAGAGGACAACUGUGCCAGUCGCUCCUCCUUGAUCCCCAGCGCUCUCGUCAGAACACUCAGUGCUAAUUUGAUGCUCAGAACAGCGCCCUCCAAUGUGCGUCCCUUAGUGUUAAAAGGUGUUAAGUGAGGGUAGGAGAAACGGAAAGUGUCUGGUUAAAUAAAUCUAGAAGAAAAUCCGUAUGAAACAAAACGGAACGAGGUGUAGGACUUCUCAGAAUCUAGAAUACACUACCGUGCAAUCUGAAACCCCAAGAGAGGAAAAUAUGAUAGAGAAUUUUUCCAGUUUUUUUUUUUCCCCCCAGAGGAACAUGUCCUGAGAGAAUGUUACAGAAACUUUUCCCUCUUCAUUCACUGCAAAUCUGCUCAUUUUUAAGUCUCAGAUCCAGUGAAAUUUCCUUCAUGAGGCUCUUUUCAGUUCCCUCAGUGAAAGGUCAUCCCUUCCCCUUUGGUACGUUAUUACCAAGCUCUUCAGAUUCCUUGAAUUCUCAUUCCCUUUCAAUGCCCCAUCAUUAAUUUUUUUUCUUUUUUUUUUGUAUAGUGUCUUUGUUCUCCACUAAAGCAAAGCAUCUUGAGGUAAUGGAACAUCCAUUAUUCACUUGUUUGUGUGGCUGUGUGUGUUUAAUAACACCUAAUGUAGCACCCAGAACCUUCUAGAAACUCAGUAAAUGUUUGCUUAAAGACUGAAGCCACCCACCUACCUCAGAUGUUUGCUGUUGAUUUCAAGAAUUCCUCUGGAAAGGAAAAUACGUUUCUUUACCUAUUAGAGAAUGAGUGGAUUUGACUUUUAUUCUUUUUUUUUUUUUAAGAUUUUAUUU